AAAGGGUUUCUAACCAACUUUAAUCCGUUUUAGCUAGCUAGGCUAAGCAACUUGUCUAAAUGAAACGAAACAAUUCACUUAUUGUUUGUUAAUAAAUCACCGCAAAUCUCUUCGCUAGCAAACGCGACUCCGUCUCCAAAAACAGCAGAGUGUCUUCAGUAAUGUUUUACUUUCUACGACGUCUCCACUUUCCAAGUGUAUUAAACAGGCAGGUAUGAUGUUCUCUUGAAAUCAUUGAUCCAGGCUGAAUUUUAACCUGCUUCUCUCUCUCUCUUUCCUCUUUGCAGCCAAAGCAGGUGGUCCAAAAGCCAGCUCAGGAAGAAGGAGAAGAAGAAGAGGAGGAAGAGGAGGAGUCUGGAGAGGAGGAUUAAAGAACAACAUCAUUUGACCUCUUACUUCCUUGUAGCAGUUCUUCCUCCUGGGGAACCACUGCCUUCACCACUUACUAAGGACGCUGACCCAUGACCUCUGUCCACUCUCAUAUCGUACUGUUUUCAUUUCACACUUUUGUUUGGGUUUAUUUCUUUGGGGGUUUUUUGUUUGUUUGUUUUGAUUCUGAGAUGAACACACAGAGCAUGAGCCGCAAAAAAACCCCGAAACACUAAAUAUGACAACAAAGAUCUGCUGUACCUCUUUACAACAACAGUAAUGUUUUAUCUGCUGUAAGGACAGAGGUUCUGGGGUUGUACCGCUGCAGGUUCUACUCCCCUCCUCCCCUGUCAUUGUCCACUGAUUCUCCAGGCUGUCUUUCUUUGAGGGAGAGAUAGAAACGUCUGUUAUUGGCAUUCAGAAAUUGCGACCAUAUGGCUGCUGUUUCAAUACAACAGAGGUCUAGAACACACACACAGACCCUCCCUCCGCCGAGUCCCGUGUCGGACCACCAAACACAGGGAGACAAGUCAGGUUAUUUUAAUCUAUCAUGUUUUUAAUCUACCGUGGAAUUGCUUUUUUUUAUAUAUAUAUAACAAAUUGGCUUCUUUAACUUGCUAAAAUCACACCUUUUUAAUUGAUGAAUUCCUCAGUUGAGGUUGUUGGAUAUUAGCAGGUAUGUCGUUUUUUCAUCAUAUGCGUUUUACUGCCAGUUAGUCUCUUUAACCAAGAACCUUUUUCACCUGCUUUUGCUUUAGCAUUUUAUAUUGUGACAAUUAGCAUUUAUAUUGUGAUAAUUAGCAUUUUAUAUUGUGAUAAUUAGCAUUUUAUAUUGUGACAAUUAUCAUUUUAUAUUGUGAUAAUUAUCAUUUAUAUUGUGAUAAUUAUCAUUUUAUAUUGUGAUAAUUAUCAUUUUAUAUUGUGACAAUUAUCAUUUUAUAUUGUGAUAAUUAUCAUAUUAUAUUGUGAUAAUUAUCAUUUUAUAUUGUGGUAAUUAUCAUUUUACAUUGUGAUAAUUAUCAUUUUAUAUUGUGACAAUUAUCAUUUUAUAUUGGGAUAAUUAUCAUAUUAUAUUGUGAUAAUUAUCAUUUUAUAUUGUGGUAAUUAUCAUUUUACAUUGUGAUAAUUAUCAUUUUAUAUUGUGAUAAUUAUCCAUUUUAUAUUGUGAUAAUUAUCAUUUUAUAUUGUGAUAAUUAUAAUUUUAUAUUGUGGUAAUUAUCAUUUUAUAUUGUGAUAAUUAUCCAUUUUAUAUUGUGAUAAUUAUCAUUUUAUAUUGUGAUAAUUAUCAUUUUAUAUUGUGACAAUUAUCAUUUUAUAUUGUGACAAUUAUCAUUUUACAUUGUGAUAAUUAUCAUUUUACAUUGUGGUAAUUAUCAUUUUACAUUGUGAUAAUUAUCAUUUUAUAUUGUGAUAAUUAUCCAUUUUAUAUUGUGAUAAUUAUCAUUUUAUAUUGUGGUAAUUAUCAUUUAAUAUUGUGAUAAUUAUCCAUUUUAUAUUGUGAUAAUUAUCAUUUUAUAUUGUGAUAAUUAUCAUUUUAUAUUGUGGUAAUUAUCAUUUUAUAUUGUGAUAAUUAUCAUUUUAUAUUGUGAUAAUUAUCAUUUUAUAUUGUGGUAAUUAGCAUUUUACAUUGUGAUAAUUAUCAUUUUAUAUUGUGAUAAUUAUCAUUUAUAUUGUGAUAAUUAUCAUUUUACAUUGUGAUAAUUAUAACCACACAACAAAGAGAAGAACUCAGCUGUAAUGUUUAUUAUGGUGAAGUUCACAUGAUGGAACGAUCUUAAUGGAGGUAAUAUGAUAUUAUUGGUUUUACAGGGCUCUUAUAAAUAAUGUACUUUAUUGUUUUCUCUAUUAGGAAACAAUGAGUUGAUAGUCACAGUUCUCAUCAUCGACAUCUUGAUUAUCCAGUUCGUUUUU